rnacentral:rRNA from 1 species
GCAAGUCGAACGGACCGUACACGUAGCUUGCUGCGUGUAUGGUUAGUGGCAGACGGGUGAGUAAUGCAUAGGAAUCUGCCUAGUAGUAUAGGAUAGCCACUAGAAAUGGUGGGUAAUACUGUAUAAUCCCUGCGGGGGAAAGAUUUAUCGCUACAUGAUGAGCCUAUGUUAGAUUAGCUAGUUGGUGGGGUAAUGGCCUACCAAGGCUGUGAUCUAUAGCUGGUCUGAGAGGAUGAUCAGCCACACUGGAACUGAGACACGGUCCAGACUCCUACGGGAGGCAGCAGUGGGGAAUAUUGGACAAUGGGCGCAAGCCUGAUCCAGCUAUGCCGCGUGAGUGAGGAAGGCCUUAGGGUUGUAAAACUCUUUCAGUAGGGAAGAUAAUGACGGUACCUACAGAAAAAGUCCCGGCAAACUC